UACGUAGGGGGCUAGCGUUGUCCGGAUUUAUUGGGCGUAAAGAGCUCGUAGGCGGUUUGUCGCGUCUGCCGUGAAAGUCCGGGGCUCAACUCCGGAUCUGCGGUCGAUACGGGCAUCACUGGAGUUCGGCAGGGGAGACUGGAAUUCCUGGUGUAGCGGUGAAAUGCGCAGAUAUCAGGAGGAACACCGGUGGCGAAGGCGGGUCUCUGGGCCGAUACUGACGCUGAGGAGCGAAAGCGUGGGGAGCGAACAGG
rnacentral:rRNA from 1 species